AUUGAACGCUGGCGGAAUGCUUUACACAUGCAAGUCGAACGGCAGCACGGACUUCGGUCUGGUGGCGAGUGGCGAACGGGUGAGUAAUACAUCGGAACGUGCCCAGUCGUGGGGGAUAACGUAGCGAAAGCUACGCAAAUACCGCAUACGAUCUAAGGAUGAAAGCGGGGGAUCGCAAGACCUUGCGCGAUUGGAGCGGCCGAUGGCAGAUUAGGUAGUUGGUAGGGUAAAGGCCUACCAAGCCGACGAUCUGUAGCUGGUCUGAGAGGAUGAUCAGCCACACUGGGACUGAGACACGGCCCAGACUCCUACGGGAGGCAGCAGUGGGGAAUUUUGGACAAUGGGCGCAAGCCUGAUCCAGCCAUUCCGCGUGCAGGAUGAAGGCCUUCGGGUUGUAAACUGCUUUUGUACAGAACGAAAAGGCUCUGGUUAAUACCCGGGGCUCAUAACGGUACUGUAAGAAUAAGCACCGGCUAACUACGUGCCAGCCGCCGCGGUAA
rnacentral:rRNA from 1 species